UGGUGGCUAUAGCAAGGAGGUCACACCUGUUCCCAUGCCGAACACAGAAGUUAAGCUCCUUAGCGUCGAUGGUAGUCGAA
rnacentral:rRNA from 1 species